rnacentral:lncRNA from 1 species
AAUGCCAAUGGGGCUUUGUGCCAACGAGAAAAUCAGUAGAGAGUAUAACAGAAUGAGGAGGAUGGCCAGAGUGGUUGUGGGGGUGACGUUUUACACAGGGAGGUCAAGGUGACAUUUGAGGAGUGGCCCCAAAGAAGUAAGGACACAGACCUGUGGGUACGUGAGCGCAGAAACAGCCCAGGUAAACGGCCCCCGAGGGAACUGCCCCGGCCAGGUCCACAGGUGACAGGGAGAGGAUUCAGGAGACGAGAGAAGAGCCGAGAUGCCACGAAGCCAGUGUGUGCCUGGAAGGAUACAGCAGACGAGGGCUUGCGAAGUGUGGUCGAGAUUCUGUAUUUUAUUCCUAGUGAGAUGGAAGGAUGCUGAAGGGAUCCGAGCAGCGAAGUGAGGGAAUCUGACUGGUAAUUCAGAACCCAGGGCGCAGAAGUGGGGCAGGGAGGUAGGGUGGGAAAAUAGAAGGUGGGAACCUCCGCAGUUACGGUUCUGGGGACAAGGCAGUCCCAUUUGUGACGUGCUCUGCGGACAGUGGGGUGGCCUGGACAUUCGACGGAAGGCAGCAGGCGUACUGCCGUGGAGCCGGGGCUGGCCUCAGAGGGGGAGAAGGGUCGGGAGUUUGGACCUGCUGAGCCUGAACUAAAAGUGAAGCUAUCCGGGACACAGCCGGGACCCAGUGUGCUCUCCAGAGGGGCAGGGGAUCUGGCAGCAGGCGCAGAACAAGCUCUUGGGAGAAGUUCCGCCCAACGUCAGAGCGGGAACACGAGGGCACCCAGGGAGAAGUGUUGGAAAGCGGCCCUCCGAGAGCACGGGGCUGCACGUAAUGCCGUCUGCCUCGUCGUGACAGCAUGAAACCCUCACAAACGUGAUGCCCGAGCUUGGACUUCUCAGCCUCCGAAACGGUAUCAGAGGUCUCUGAAAGAAAUACAAUUGGUAAACGACCGAGGUACUGGGAUAACCUCUCAGGAAUCGUUCCCCACCAGUCCUUUCCCUCCGGCGGUCUAUCAAGCUCACAGGGAAAGACUGAAAAAAGAGCAUCACCGAUGGCCCGGAUGUGAUUGCUUCCUGCACGGCACUGGGAUGUAGCCAACACUUACUGGUGGUCACAGGCACAGUGGGCAUCCACCUACCUCCGACUGCCCACCUCUGUCAACCCUCAGCUCCCGGGUGCUCUCCAGCACUUGGACAGCUCCUCCCCUCCGUGCGGGCUCUGCUCUGCUGCCAGAGGAAAUUUUCUUGUCCUGCCUGAGCUGGGAAGCGAGGAAGUGGCAGAGAUACACACACCUGAGCAAAGAGGAAUGAGCCCAAGAAUGCAUGUACCAGACUCCCGUUCUCAUCUAAAUUAUCAUGUCUAUAAUAAAUGUAUCAGUAGAGAAAAG